ACUCCUACGGGAGGCAGCCGUAACGAAUCUUCCGCAAUGCACGAAAGUGUGACGGAGCGACGCCGCGUGUAGGACGAAGCCCUUCGGGGUGUAAACUACUGUCAGGGGAAAGAAAGUUCUGAUCUACCCCAGAGGAAGGGACGGCUAACUCUGUGCCAGCAGCCGCGGUAAGACAGAGGUCCCAAGCGUUAGGCGGAAUCACUGGGCUUAAAGCGUGUGUAGGCGGAUUUGUAAGUACCUUGUGAAAUCCCACGGCUCAACCGUGGAACUGCUUGGUAUACUGCUUAUCUUGGGUCAUCUAGGGGCGAGCGGAACAAACGGUGGAGCGGCGAAAUGCGUAGAUAUCGUUUGGAACGCCAAUGGUGAAAACAGCUCGCUGGGGAUGUACCGACGCUGAGACACGAAAGCCAA
rnacentral:rRNA from 1 species